GAUUGUCCUUCAUGUCAUUAGUCUGUACCUAUAAGCAGGAAGUCCCACAAUGCCUUGCAAAGAAUGAACAAAAAACUGUGUGCAGAGGGGCUGCAGGAGCUGUGAUAUGGUUCCUGAAUAAUCUAUCUUAGUGAUGUGUUGUUUAUGUCUUACCAAGAAAUGAAUGCUUUAUUAACCUUCAAUGUUUCCCACCCCCAGUGUAUCAGCGCUGUAGCCCAGACGUCUUGGAUUCAACAGUGCCAUGCUCUCAACAACCAGCUGCUUCCUGCUCUCCUAGUGGCUAUCACCCUGACUACUCAGUCGGAUACGCUGACCCGAUCGAUCAGGAUCCAUACUGGAGAGCAGGUGAUGUUCCAGAGUCCAGGACGAGUGACCUGGGCAUAGAGAAAGAGGAACUGGACGCUAUAUUAGAGCUGGCGUUGGACAUGCAGGAUGAAGUUGAUGUCCGGACGUUGCUGCAGCUAUCACUCACCUGUUAAGACAGCUUGAGUGGGUGAUACGAACCCGUAGUGGUGCUACGAAAAAUAAUCUGCCAAACAAAAUGAAUCAAAGAGACAGAGACUGAAUGCAGUCGAUACAAAAAAAAAUCAUUUGUAAAAUAGACAUUUGAUUGAAUGACAGUUUAUAGUUUUUAUGUGUAUUUUAGGAAAAUAUAAGAUGUAAAUUAUGUCCAAGUCACUUGAGAGCAUUACUGUAAAUUAAUGUAAUCCUACAGCUCUCUAGAUUAUUUGUUGUAAUAAUAAUAAGAAGGAGAAUUGUGUUUCACAUUUUUUAGACCUGAAUGUUAUAAAUGUUAGGAAGAUUUUUUUUUUUUUUUUUAAUAUCUUAUCUUUUUUAUUUAUUCGUUUCAGGCAUACUGUUUUAGUCUUUUUUCCUCAUUUACAAGCCGUUUAUUUAGAAAUGUGAUAUUUAGAUAUUUAAACAAAAUCAAAUUUCAUAUAUCAUGCAGUUUUAAGUCAAAAAAUAAAGAUAUGGGAUCGAUGCAUGAAAGGGUUCAUUAUUAUACUCUGGCACGAAUACGACACCUUUGUGUUGCUAUAUGAGUAAGAAACAUAAACACCCAUGUGGCCGGUGUUAGCCGCUGGAACAAUAUCUACGACUCUGUGUAGACCAGCACACUGACAGGUACACACACCACAGGAAAACUGCAAAUAUUUGCCUGUGCUAAGAGCGGCCUGUUCUCCUGAAGCUCUUAUUUAAUGAAGUAUAACCUUGUUGAAGGGCAAACAGUUGGAGCUGUUUUAGUGAUGUUUUAGUGUUGUAGCUCUAUAGCUCUCUAGAUUAUUUGUUGUAAUAAUAAGAUGAUUUUGUGUUUCACAUUUUUUUAGACCUGAAUGUUAUAAAUGUUAGGAAGAUUUCUUGUUUAUUUUUUAAUAUCUUAUCUUUUUUAUCUAUUCAUUUCAGGCAUACUGUUUUAGUCUUUUUUAUGCUGCCUGACAUGUAGAGAAGUAACUGUUACCAAUAAAGUGAAUUAUUUCUUUUAACAGCAUGUCCUGAAGUGCUUUAUUCCUCUUAUACUACAGCAGUUUUUAUUUAUUAAGGAACAACACAUACCUGUUUAUCUGUUUAUAGCUGUGUUGUAGAAAGUCUGAGAAACAAAGUAGUUUCUUAUCACUUGUGUUGUAAGACCUAUAAACAGUCGA